rnacentral:rRNA from 1 species
UACGUAGGGGGCGAGCGUUGUCCGGAUUUACUGGGCGUAAAGAGCGCGUAGGCGGAAAUUUAAGCGUGGCCUGAAAGCCCCCGGCUCAACCGGGGAGUGCGGCUGCGAACUGGGUUCUUGAGGACGAUAGAGGAGAGUGGAAUUCCUGGUGUAGCGGUGAAAUGCGUAGAUAUCAGGAGGAACACCCGAGGCGAAGGCGGCUCUCUGGGUCGUACCUGACGCUGAGGCGCGAAAGCGUGGGGAGCGAACGGG